GGAUGAACGCUGGCGGCGUGCCUAAUACGUGCAAGUCGAGCGAACGGACGAGAAGCUUGCUUCUCUGAUGUUAGCGGCGGACGGGUGAGUAACACGUGGAUAACCUACCUAUAAGACUGGGAUAACUUCGGGAAACCGGAGCUAAUACCGGAUAAUAUUUUGAACCGCAUGGUACAAAAGUGAAAGACGGUCUUGCUGUCACUUAUAGAUGGAUCCGCGCUGCAUUAGCUAGUUGGUAAGGUAACGGCUUACCAAGGCAACGAUGCAUAGCCGACCUGAGAGGGUGAUCGGCCACACUGGAACUGAGACACGGUCCAGACUCCUACGGGAGGCAGCAGUAGGGAAUCUUCCGCAAUGGGCGAAAGCCUGACGGAGCAACGCCGCGUGAGUGAUGAAGGUCUUCGGAUCGUAAAACUCUGUUAUUAGGGAAGAACAUAUGUGUAAGUAACUGUGCACAUCUUGACGGUACCUAAUCAGAAAGCCACGGCUAACUACGUG
rnacentral:rRNA from 1 species